CCGGAAAGGGCAAACAUACGUUAUAUCGUUAAUGUCCUGAUUUAUGUUGUAAUUAAUUAGGUAUUAUCUUUGAUUUGCACCCGAUUAAUGACAACAUAAAUC